rnacentral:rRNA from 1 species
CUAAGCGUACACGGUGGAUGCCCUGGCAGUCAGAGGCGAUGAAGGGCGUGCUAAUCUGCGAUAAGCGCCGGUAAGGUGAUAUGAACCGUUAUAACCGGCGAUACCCGAAUGGGGAAACCCAGUGUGACUCGUCACACUAUCAUUAACUGAAUCCAUAGGUUAAUGAGGCGAACCGGGGGAACUGAAACAUCUAAGUACCCCGAGGAAAAGAAAUCAACCGAGAUUCCCCCAGUAGCGGCGAGCGAACGGGGAGGAGCCCAGAGCCUGAAUCAGCAUGUGUGUUAGUGGAAGCGUCUGGAAAGGCGCGCGAUACAGGGUGACAGCCCCGUACACAAAAGCGCAUGUGCUGUGAGCUCGAUGAGUAGGGCGGGACACGUGGUAUCCUGUCUGAAUAUGGGGGGACCAUCCUCCAAGGCUAAAUACUCCUGACUGACCGAUAGUGAACCAGUACCGUGAGGGAAAGGCGAAAAGAACCCCGGCGAGGGGAGUGAAAAAGAACCUGAAACCGUGUACGUACAAGCAGUGGGAGCACCCUGUGUGACUGCGUACCUUUUGUAUAAUGGGUCAGCGACUUAUAUUCUGUAGCAAGGUUAACCGAAUAGGGGAGCCGGAGGGAAACCGAGUCUUAACCGGGCGUUAAGUUGCAGGGUAUAGACCCGAAACCCGGUGAUCUAGCCAUGGGCAGGUUGAAGGUUGGGUAACACUAACUGGAGGACCGAACCGACUAAUGUUGAAAAAUUAGCGGAUGACCUGUGGCUGGGGGUGAAAGGCCAAUCAAACCGGGAGAUAGCUGGUUCUCCCCGAAAGCUAUUUAGGUAGCGCCUCGUGAAUUCAUCUCCGGGGGUAGAGCACUGUUUCGGCUAGGGGGCCAUCCCGGCUUACCAACCCGAUGCAAACUGCGAAUACCGGAGAAUGUUAUCACGGGAGACACACGGCGGGUGCUAACGUCCGUCGUGAAGAGGGAAACAACCCAGACCGCCAGCUAAGGUCCCAAAGUCAUGGUUAAGUGGGAAACGAUGUGGGAAGGCCCAGACAGCCAGGAUGUUGGCUUAGAAGCAGCCAUCAUUUAAAGAAAGCGUAAUAGCUCACUGGUCGAGUCGGCCUGCGCGGAAGAUGUAACGGGGCUAAACCAUGCACCGAAGCUGCGGCAGCGACACUGAUGUGUUGUUGGGUAGGGGAGCGUUCUGUAAGCCUGUGAAGGUGGCCUGUGAGGGUUGCUGGAGGUAUCAGAAGUGCGAAUGCUGACAUAAGUAACGAUAAAGCGGGUGAAAAGCCCGCUCGCCGGAAGACCAAGGGUUCCUGUCCAACGUUAAUCGGGGCAGGGUGAGUCGACCCCUAAGGCGAGGCCGAAAGGCGUAGUCGAUGGGAAACGGGUUAAUAUUCCCGUACUUGGUGUUACUGCGAAGGGGGGACGGAGAAGGCUAUGUUGGCCGGGCGACGGUUGUCCCGGUUUAAGCGUGUAGGUGUGUGUUCCAGGUAAAUCCGGUUCACUUUAACACUGAGGCGUGACGACGAGGCACUACGGUGCUGAAGCAACAAAUGCCCUGCUUCCAGGAAAAGCCUCUAAGCAUCAGGUAACAUCAAAUCGUACCCCAAACCGACACAGGUGGUCAGGUAGAGAAUACCAAGGCGCUUGAGAGAACUCGGGUGAAGGAACUAGGCAAAAUGGUGCCGUAACUUCGGGAGAAGGCACGCUGACACGUAGGUGAAGUGAUUUACUCAUGGAGCUGAAGUCAGUCGAAGAUACCAGCUGGCUGCAACUGUUUAUUAAAAACACAGCACUGUGCAAACACGAAAGUGGACGUAUACGGUGUGACGCCUGCCCGGUGCCGGAAGGUUAAUUGAUGGGGUCAGCGCAAG